rnacentral:rRNA from 1 species
CCAAGGAGUCUAACAUGUGCGCGAGUCACUCGGUCUUGAAUAGGCCAGAGAGGCGCAAUGAAAGUAAAGUUGAUUGAGUUACGAUCCUCAUGCAGUUAUCCUUGUGGUAACGGUGGGGCGCAGUAACAGCCCGCCAAUUUCGCUUAUUGACGAUCUGGCGGAGUUGUAGCGUACACGUUGGUACCCGAAAGAUGGUGAACUAUGCCUGGGCAAGACGAAGCCAGAGGAAACUCUGGUGGAGGUCUGUAGCGAUUCUGACGUGCAAAUCGAUCGUCAGACCUGGGUAUAGGGGCGAAAGACUAAUCGAACCAUC